CAGCAGCCGCGGUAAUACGGAGGGUGCAAGCGUUAAUCGGAAUUACUGGGCGUAAAGCGUGCGUAGGUGGUGGUUUAAGUCCGUUGUGAAAGCCCUGGGCUCAACCUGGGAAUUGCAGUGGAUACUGGGUCACUAGAGUGUGGUAGAGGAUAGUGGAAUUUCCGGUGUAGCAGUGAAAUGCGUAGAGAUCGGAAGGAACAUCUGUGGCGAAGGCGACUAUCUGGACCAACACUGACACUGAGGCACGAAAGCGUGGGGAGCAAACAGGAUUAGAUACCCCAGUAGUCCCUGUCUCUUAUAC
rnacentral:rRNA from 1 species